CUUCCCAAGCCUGCAGACCCAAGUCCCCAGGCCGGCGGGUGGCGACCGAGGGCAACCAGACCCCGGGCAAGCAGUGGAGUUACACCAGCUACGGAGUUUCGGUGGCCUGCGGUUUGCCAUGUUCUGGAAGAAGGGAAAGCAAGUCCUUUCCAAGAUCUGCAGUGAGAUGCAGCUGCUAACACCGGAGAGCAGAAGGGUCACCUCUCUAAUUUGGCAAGCAGUCUGUCCCCAAGUCUAGGUUUCAGGCACAGCUUUCGGGGGAAACCCAAAUGGCGUGUCGUUCUGUGUGACGUCGAUGAGGCCCCGCCCCGUGAGGGCCCUGGAGAUGAGGGAACUGAGGCCAGCGUGAAGUCACGCCGAGGAGGGAGAGGGUUUGCGGAUGCAAAGCUGCGCUGGCAACUGGAUGUGAUUAUGGCGCAACCAACCCUGCCAGAAGGCCCCAUCCCCGCGAGCUCAGAGACGUGCGGGGUUUCCUUGGCAAACAAAUAAGGAAACUUGAAGAUCACCAGCAUAGAAAAUAAAACAGAACUAUAAAAAAAAAAAAGCAAAA